GGUUGAUCCUGCCAGUAGUCAUAUGCUUGUCUCAAAGAUUAAGCCAUGCAUGUCUAAGUAUAAGCUUGUUUUAUACGGCGAGACUGCGGAUGGCUCAUUAAAUCAGUUAUAGUUUAUUUGAUGGUCUCUUGACACGGCGCAAGCCGUAUCAUUUACUUGGAUAACUGUGGUAAUUCUAGAGCUAAUACAUGCGUAAAAUCUCGAGCGCGGGGGGUGGUCUUGGGAUGCAGGUGGCAACACUUGUGUUCCGUUCGGGCCAUCUUUGCAUGCGCGAAGGGAUGUAUUUAUUAGA
rnacentral:rRNA from 1 species